rnacentral:rRNA from 1 species
GGACCCGCACAAGCGGUGGAGCAUGUGGUUUAAUUCGAUGCAACGCGAAAAAACCUUACCUACUCUUGACAUACUUGGAAGCUCUUGUAAUGAGAGUGUGCCUUUUGGAACCAAGAUACAGGUGCUGCAUGGCUGUCGUCAGCUCGUGUCGUGAGAUGUUCCGUUAAGUCGGAUAACGAGCGCAACCCUUACCCUUAUUUGCCAGCGAUUCGGUCGGGAACUAUAAGGGGACUGCCGGUGAUAAAACCGGAGGAAAGGUGAGGACGACGUCAAGUAUCAUGGCCCUUACGAGUAGGGCUACACACGUGCUACAAUGGCCGGUACAGAGAGCAGCCACUACGCGAGUAG